UUGGAGGGCAAGUCUGGUGCCAGCAGCCGCGGUAAUUCCAGCUCCAAUAGCGUAUAUUAAAGUUGUUGCAGUUAAAAAGCUCGUAGUUGAAUUUCGGGGUUCUUCCGUUGGUCAGGCUAACAAGUCUGUACUAGCGUGUAGAAUCUCUACCUUCUGGGGAGCCAUCAUGUUAUUAAUUUAGCGUGGUGGGAAACCAGGACCUUUACCUUGAAAAAAUUAGAGUGUUCAAAGCAGGCUUACGUCUGAAUACAUUAGCAUGGAAUAAUAAAAUAGGACGGUGGUCCUGUUUUGUUGGUUUCUGAAUCACCGUAAUGAUUAAUAGGGAUAAUUGGGGGCAUUAGUAUUCAAUUGUCAGAGGCGAAAUUCUUGGAUUUAUUGAAGACUAACUUCUGCGAAAGCAUUUGCCAAGGAUGUUUUCAUUAAUCAAGAACGAAAGUUAGGGGAUCGAAGACGAUCAGAUACCGUCGUAGUCUUAACCAUAAACUAUGCCGACUAGGGAUCGGACGAUGUUAAAUUUUAUUGACUCGUUCGGCGCCUUACGGGAAAC
rnacentral:rRNA from 1 species